rnacentral:tRNA from 1 species
GACAUCAUAGUGUAGUGUUUUGAGCAUUGGACUGUGACUCUGGAGACCAGGGUUCAAAUCCCUGCUCAGCCA